GAUGAACGCUGGCGGCGUGCCUAAUACAUGCAAGUCGAGCGAACAGACGAGGAGCUUGCUCCUCUGACGUUAGCGGCGGACGGGUGAGUAACACGUGGAUAACCUACCUAUAAGACUGGGAUAACUUCGGGAAACCGGAUCUAAUACCGGAUAAUAUAUUGAACCGCAGGGUUCAAUAGUGAAAUACGGUUUUGCUGUCACUUAUAGAUGGAUCCGCGCCGCAUUAGCUAGUUGGUAAGGUAACGGCUUACCAAGGCAACGAUGCGUAGCCGACCUGAGAGGGUGAUCGGCCACACUGGAACUGAGACACGGUCCAGACUCCUACGGGAGGCAGCAGUAGGGAAUCUUCCGCAAUGGGCGAAAGCCUGACGGAGCAACGCCGCGUGAGUGAUGAAGGUCUUCGGAUCGUAAAACUCUGUUAUUAGGGAAGAACAAAUGUGUAAGUAACUAUGCACGUCUUGACGGUACCUAAUCAGAAAGCCACGGCUAACUACGUG
rnacentral:rRNA from 1 species